GAAGUGCGAUAAGCAAUGCGAAUUGCAGAAUUCCGCGAAUCAUCAGAUCUUUGAACGCAAAUGGCGCCGGAGGGAUAUCCUUCUGGCAUGUCUAUUUCAGUGUCUGAGAGGUUUCACCUAAAUCUUAAUGUGAUUGACUUGAGGUUGUGUUUGAUAUCUCUUGUAGAUCCCAAAUCUAUCUCUGUCUCUCAUGAAAGAUGCGCGAGAGGAUCUUUUGGUCCAAUGAAGUGGUCACAUCACUCGUAUGUGAUUUCAUUGGAAGCACCAAAUUAUUCGUAUUCUCGUGAACUCACAAACUAAAAAACCAAUCUACACCCUGCAUCUGAGAUAGGCAAGAUCACCCGCUGAACUUAA
rnacentral:misc_RNA from 1 species